AGUCAUAAACGCCUUCCGAUGCCAAAGCAGAACAUGACUUUAAUCCAGAUAAAAUAAAAUUCCUAAACCCUGAAAACUAUACGGAGAUUUACAGGCCAAUUUUAAAAAGCGAGAGCCUCAGUCGCUUCCAAGAGCAGCACAUUCCACAUAGCCGGCCCUGGGUGCAGCCUCACCCCCAGCUGUUGCAGAAAACCACAGUCAACCUCUUCUGGCUCUAAGCAGCCAAGUUUUCUCUAAGUAAACACAGAAAGUAGGAGAAGAUCAGCUCUGUUCCAUUCCCAGCACUGUGGGUUGGGU
rnacentral:lncRNA from 10 species